UACGAAGGGGGCUAGCGUUGUUCGGAAUUACUGGGCGUAAAGCGCGCGUAGGCGGUUUUGCAAGCCAGAGGUGAAAUGCCUGAGCUCAACUUAGGAAUUGCCUUUGGGACUGCGAGGCUUUGAGGACGGGAGAGGUGAGUGGAAUUCCCAGUGUAGAGGUGAAAUUCGUAGAUAUUGGGAAGAACACCGGUGGCGAAGGCGGCUCACUGGCCCGUUUCUGGACGCUGCAGCGCGAAAGCGUGGGGAUCAAACAGG
rnacentral:rRNA from 1 species